rnacentral:rRNA from 1 species
AGCGAACGCCGGCGGCAGGCCUAACACAUGCAAGUCGAACGAACUCUUCGGAGUUAGUGGCGGACGGGUGAGUAACACGUGGGAACGUGCCUUUAGGUUCGGAAUAACUCAGGGAAACUUGUGCUAAUACCGAAUGUGCCCUUCGGGGGAAAGAUUUAUCGCCUUUAGAGCGGCCCGCGUCUGAUUAGCUUGUUGGUGGGGUAAUGGCCCACCAAGGCGACGAUCAGUAGCUGGUCUGAGAGGAUGACCAGCCACAUUGGGACUGAGACACGGCCCAAACUCCUACGGGAGGCAGCAGUGGGGAAUCUUGCGCAAUGGGCGAAAGCUUGACGCAGCCAUGCCGCGUGGAUGAUGAAGGUCUUAGGAUUGUAAAAUCCUUUCACCGGUGAAGAUAAUGACUGUAGCCGGAGAAGAAGCCCCGGCUAACUUCGUGCCAGCCGCCGCAGUAAAAC